AUGAAAGUUGCUCUACCGACAGGGCUACAUGAAUUCAGCAAUGGGUGGAUUAGGCUGAGUGUUAUCAGUGAUGAUGAAACACAGCAGACUGUGGCUGAGUGGUACGUUUCAACGAUCAUUAUCAAAAGGCUAUACAGAUGUUCUUACUGUAAAUGCUUUCCAGCUUCAAGACCUUCUCCCAUGACAUGCAAUGAAUUCCUGGUACUCAACUCCUUCAGGAGGGAAAGCGUUGCAAAGCAGCACCUUCUGCGGCACGAGAUGUCUCGGUGGCAGGAACAAAGCGGGGAGCCAGGUGAGACUGCCGGGGAGACAAAGGAUUCCCGCUGCACAACGGGACGCCUCGCAGUGAAGUGGGUAUUGCCAUUUAUUGUGAGUGCCUGGUCAUUAACAAUUCAUUGUAAUAUAUUACACGCAGGGAUCUCAUAG
rnacentral:lncRNA from 1 species